GGGGUCGUAGCUCAGUUGGUAGAGCACCUGCUUUGCAAGCAGGGGGUCACGAGUUCGAAUCUCGUCGGCUCCACCA
rnacentral:tRNA from 4 species